rnacentral:rRNA from 1 species
UACGUAGGGUGCAAGCGUUGUCCGGAAUUAUUGGGCGUAAAGAGCUCGUAGGCGGUUUGUUGUGUCGGAUGUGAAAUCCCGAGGCUCAACCUCGGGUCUGCAUCCGAUACUGCCCGGCUAGAGGUAGGUAGGGGAGAUCGGAAUUCCUGGUGUAGCGGUGAAAUGCGCAGAUAUCAGGAGGAACACCGGUGGCGAAGGCGGAUCUCUGGGCCUUACCUGACGCUCAGGCGCGAAAGCUAGGGGAGCGAACUGG